rnacentral:rRNA from 1 species
CAGUCGCCACGGGAAUACAGAGGGUGCAAGCGUUAAUCGGAAUUACUGGGCGUAAAGCGCGCGUAGGUGGUUUGUUAAGUUGGAUGUGAAAUCCCCGGGCUCAACCUGGGAACUGCAUCCAAAACUGGCAAGCUAGAGUAUGGUAGAGGGUGGUGGAAUUUCCUGUGUAGCGGUGAAAUGCGUAGAUAUAGGAAGGAACACCAGUGGCGAAGGCGACCACCUGGACUGAUACUGACACUGAGGUGCGAAAGCGUGGGGAGCAAACAGGAUUAGAUACCCCCGUAGUCCCUGUCUCUUAUAA